AGGAUAAACGCUGGCGGCGUGCCUAACACAUGCAAGUCGAACGCCCUACGCAAGUAGGGAGUGGCGGACGGGUGAGGAACACGUGGGUCAUCUACCGUGAGGUGAGGAAUACCGGCGAGAAAUCGCCGACAAGACCGCAUAGCCUCGGUGCAAGUCGAGGAAAGCUCUCUCGAGAGAGGGAGCGCCACACGAGGAGCCUGCGCCCGAUUAGCUAGCUGGUGGAGUAAUGGUUCACCAGGGCGACGAUCGGUAGCUGGUCUGAGAGGACGAUCAGCCACACUGGGAUUGAGAACGGCCCAGACUCCUACGGGGGGCAGCAGUGAGGAAUUUUCGUCAAUGGGGCAACCCUGAACGAGCAACGCCGCGUGCAGGAAGAAGGUUUUCGGAUCGUAAACUGUCUUUUCGUCGGGGAAGAGAACGGACGGUACCCGAGGAAUCAGCCCCGGCUAACUACGUGCCACAGCCGC
rnacentral:rRNA from 1 species